rnacentral:rRNA from 1 species
GACGAAGGUGGCGACCGUUGUUCGGAAUCACUGGGCAUAAAGAGCUCGUAGGCGGUUUGUCGCGUCUGCUGUGAAAGACCGGGGCUCAACUCCGGUUCUGCAGUGGGUACGGGCAGACUAGAGUGCAGUAGGGGAGACUGGAAUUCCUGGUGUAGCGGUGAAAUGCGCAGAUAUCAGGAGGAACACCGAUGGCGAAGGCAGGUCUCUGGGCUGUAACUGACGCUGAGGAGCGAAAGCAUGGGGAGCGAACAGG